GCAUGCCUACACAUGCAAGUCGAACGGUAACGCAAGAAGCUUGCUUCUUGGCGACGAGUGGCGGACGGGUGAGUAAUGCUUAGGAAUCUGCCCAGUAGUGGGGGACAACUCGAGGAAACUCGAGCUAAUACCGCAUACGCCCUAUGGGGGAAAGUGGAGGAUCUUCGGACUUCACGCUAUUGGAUGAGCCUAAGUCGGAUUAGCUUGUUGGUGAGGUAAAAGCUUACCAAGGCGACGAUCCGUAGCUGGUCUGAGAGGACGAUCAGCCACACUGGGACUGAGACACGGCCCAGACUCAUACGGGGAGGCAGCAGUGGGGAAUAUUGGACAAUGGGGGCAACCCUGAUCCAGCAAUGCCGCGUGUGUGAAGAAGGCCUGCGGGNUUGUAAAGCACUUUCAGUAGAGAAGAAAAAGCUUAGGGUUAAUACCCCUGAGUCUUGACGUAACCUA
rnacentral:rRNA from 1 species